CCUUAGUAGGGCUCGCAAUACAGUCGAGCGGAUGACGGGAGCUUGCUCCUUGAUUCAGCGGCGGACGGGUGAGUAAUGCCUAGGAAUCUGCCUGGUAGUGGGGGACAACGUUUCGAAAGGAACGCUAAUACCGCAUACGUCCUACGGGAGAAAGCAGGGGACCUUCGGGCCUUGCGCUAUCAGAUGAGCCUAGGUCGGAUUAGCUAGUUGGUGGGGUAAUGGCUCACCAAGGCGACGAUCCGUAACUGGUCUGAGAGGAUGAUCAGUCACACUGGAACUGAGACACGGUCCAGACUCCUACGGGAGGCAGCAGUGGGGAAUAUUGGACAAUGGGCGAAAGCCUGAUCCAGCCAUGCCGCGUGUGUGAAGAAGGUCUUCGGAUUGUAAAGCACUUUAAGUUGGGAGGAAGGGCAGUAAGUUAAUACCUUGCUGUUUUGACGUUACCGACAGAAUAAGCACCGGCUAACUCUGUGCCAGCAGCCGCGGUAAUACAGAGGGUGCAAGCGUUAAUCGGAAUUACUGGGCGUAAAGCGCGCGUAGGUGGUUCGUUAAGUUGGAUGUGAAAGCCCCGGGCUCAACCUGGGAACUGCAUCCAAAACUGGCGAGCUAGAGUACGGUAGAGGGUGGUGGAAUUUCCUGUGUAGCGGUGAAAUGCGUAGAUAUAGGAAGGAACACCAGUGGCGAAGGCGACCACCUGGACUGAUACUGACACUGAGGUGCGAAAGCGUGGGGAGCAAACAGGAUUAGA
rnacentral:rRNA from 1 species